rnacentral:lncRNA from 1 species
UCUGGCUCUUGGAGCAGGCCGGCUGACAGCGGAGUAAAGAAAGAUUACUGCGGAGGAGCCCGCAGGCGACACACCCAGCACUCUGCGAGGCCCACCAAGGCCCUGAUUCCCGAGUCCUGGAGCGAGUUGCAGCGCCCUGGCUGCAGCUGACCACUGACCUAGAGAUGUGCCUUUGCGAAGUGGCAGCGCAUGGAGAAACAGUAGCGGGUCGCUGGGGCCAGAGCCGCCCACCGGGUAGCCAGGAGCAGGCCGGAGCGAGGAGGCUCCCGGGGUGAGACCGGGGCACCCUGAACAUCAUAAAGGACUCAGACCUUGGCAUUCCCGACGUCAUAAAGGACUCACACGGAUGCGGAAACCGAGACGGGCUGGAUGGAAAACUCUUUCCAGACAGACUCCGGGGCCCUCAACUGGUCUCCGACCUUCCCCUGCAACCUGCGACACCUGCCAUUUUCCCAUCUUAGGCUCCAGAAGCAGAAUCAAGUGGGAUGUCUUGGAAGAAAAACAAACAAAAGGCCCACUAGGUGGAGUGAAAUGGAUCAGGAGCAAUUAUGUUCAAUUUCACCUUUAAGUUUUCUCAAAAGGAGGAGCAUUAAGAAUCAGCCACCUUAGUACAUACUUAAAGAUUUACUGAAACCUGAUCCUGUCCCCGCUGAUGAAACAUCAGAGGAAUGGGAUCCUGUAGGUGAAGAUCAUCAGCUUAUAAAAUCCUGUUGCCAUCAAUGGGGGUAGCAGGAAAAUGAUGAAGAUUGGUUAAGGGGCCAGUGGACUCAGCAUUGAAAUGAAUCAUGGACUUGAAGCCAAAAGACUCAGUUUGUGUCCCAGCUCUCUCAAGCAAAGCCCCCAAGUCCCAGUUUCCUCAUCUAUAAAAAAUAAUAAAAAUACUUAAUGGACAAA